AAUUUGUUUCAUUUGUCUUAGGCAUUUUGCGGAGCUGUAAACUAAAAUUUUAACAAUUUUCUCUAAGAAGCCAAAUUAUUGCUGAUAUAUGCCGAAAACAAAUUUUAAUACUAUAAUAUUCGUAUCGAUUAAUGAGUAUUAAACUGUUCAUCUAUUUAACAACCAAAUCUAAAUUUCUAGUUUUUUUUUUUGUCAAUAUCGGGAAACCCGGGAUUCGAGAAUUCCCGGGACUGAAUUCAAAUUUGUAUUUUCAGAAGCUGUUUUGGGCGAGAAUGACGGAUACAGUUGGUUGCAUUGAUGAGAGAAUCCAACUUCUGUUAGAUUUCAAGCAACUAUCUGCUACUCAUUGGCUUGGCGAGUUCGAUGACGACGACAUUAAGAAGCUGGAACAGGAUGUCCGCAAUAUGCCCACAGCACAAUUCAACAAACUCAACUGUGAAGGAGAGCAAGCCUCAUUUUCGUUCAAUUUCAUUGAAUUAAAAUGCUUGAAAUGCAUAAUUUCCCAAAUCAAUCAAAAAGGAAUCCCAUACUUCAUCAAACAAGAGAACUCCGGCGAUUCACCUACUACUAUCCAAGCAGUCGACGAUCCAAAUGAAAAGGCUGUUAUUAUCCAGAAAAUAAUAACAAACGUUUCGCAGACGUAACGUAUUUAUAAAUUAUACCAGGGAAACCGUCUUAAUUUAAUAUUAAUUUUUAGAACUGGAAUAGACCAAUUAAAGAAAACUCAGGUAAAGUUUGGGUCGAAGAGUGGCGGAAAGCGGCUUGCCUUUGUACAGUGCCCUAAGUGUGAUAAGAAUAUACAAGCUGAGCAACUACAACCUGGGGCAGCCUGGAAAGUUUCGAAUUUCUCAAAGCACUGGAAAAAUCACCACCGAACCACCUCCGCCACCGACCAAAUAUCCAAAAAACCGCGACUCGAUGUAUCGUUUAAUUUGCCGCGCGAGGGAAUGGGUGAUUAUUCCGUUUCGACAGUGGAAGGCGAAACUUCACGUAAUUCUAGUGUAGCAUUUGAUGACGAGAUCUGCCCAGACCGGACGGAACCGUCAGCCCAAUACCAUCAACUGGAAAUUACACGUUACUCUGAGUCAGCCGACAAUGAGGUCGAAUUUCUUUCACCUGAUGAGGCACACACACCAGAAUCCCACCAGCAACCCCAACAAGAAAAUCCCCAGAAUGACGAGGAACAAGCUUCAGUAGGAGUAAUCCAAAAAAACUAAAUCUGCAGAACGAAAUGGCCGAUUGUUCUGCUGAUAGUGUAUUGGCCAAUAAACCGCUUUUCAGAACAUAUACUAACAUCAACAUGAGGAAUGCAGGACGGAAAAAACGUGGAGAAAGAUAUACUGACACAGAGAAGGACAUACUUUCUUAUGAGUUCCUCUCUUCGGGCUUGUCUUUUCAUGAAUUUAAGAAGAACAAUAUGACUUACUCUAGUAAGCGGACCAUAUUAAGACACAUCCACAAAGAGACGAAGGACGUCCGUGAAGGCGUUCUGGACGUGGCUGGGCUUAAAAGAUAUCUUAAGUCAAACAAUUACCCUCCGACCGUUAUGCUCGUUGAGGAUGGGACAAAGGUUCAACAGCACGUCCAAUACGAACCCCGUUUCGAUUGUUUGACUGGACUUGUAAGCCCCUUGGAUAACAAAACCGGACUACCCAAACAAGACACCUUUAGCGCUAACUGUGCCACCAAGAUGAAACAGGACGUCGAAAGUUAUGCGGUGGCGGACACAGCAUAUGUACAGUUGGCGCUACCACUAGCGAAAGGCGCAGCACCUUUUGUCUUACUUUACUUCGGGACAGAUAAUAAAUUCAGAAGCCAAGACGUUGUCCACAGGUGGAAGGAAACCCGAGUUGUGCUUUUGGGAGAAGGGAUUGUAGUAAUAGGUUUUGCCAGCGAUGGUGAUCCUAA